UGUUUGCAUAUGUGUCCUGCCUCUCUGCUCCCAGCCGUUAAGAGGCCAGUGUUGAUCAGUGGCUGUCCAGGCCUUUCAGAGACACUGGUACACCGGCAGCACAAUGAUGAUGUCACUGACUCUACUGCUGGCCACCCUGGGGCUCCUUGUUCAGGGUUCAUCAGGACAAAUCAUCCUGACUCAGUCUCCUGGAUCUCAGUCUGUAGUUGCAGGACAGACUGUCUCCAUCAGAUGUAAAACCAGUACAAGUGUUGGUAGCUCCCUCCACUGGUACCUUCAGAAAUCUGGAGAAGCUCCUAAACUCCUGAUUUAUUCAGCUACAACCCGUCAGUCUGGAGUUUCAGAUCGUUUUACUGGAAGUGGUUCUGGGACUGACUUCACUCUGACCAUCAGAGGAGUCGAGGCUAAAGAUUCAGGAGUUUACUACUGUCAGCAGGGUAGCAACUGGCCACUCACACAGUGAUACAACGUCGUACAAAAACCUCCCUCAGCUGGAGAGGAACUGAUCUGACUCAACAGCUGCACUGAAACUAAAACAACAGAAGCUUGACUAAACUAAAAUAUAUAUUUCAUAAUAAUUUACUUUAAACAAUUUAACACUAAAUAUAUUUUAUCUAAACUAGAAAUUAUAUUGUAAAUUAUUUCAUUAAAACCAGGUUAGAAACAUUCUGCUCCACAUCAGAGCUGACCUCUGUUGAAGUAUGAUUUCAAUUCUUUGACAAGUUUAAUCCAGAGUAUGAUAACACA